AGGAGAUGCACAGAAAUUCUAAAACUAUUACGAGCAAAACUGUAAAUGUAUUGAUUGAAUCAAUAUGCUUACUGUUUAAAGGAAGGGGGAUACAGAGGAUAUUAUCAGACUGCUCAAUGAAUCAAAGUUCUGUUUCAUUAUAUUUUCAUCUCUCUCAGGACAUUUUAUUCUGCAGAAUAUUUAAAUGUAAUAGAUGUAGUGUUUCUAUGAUGACUUUGAAACCCUUU
rnacentral:misc_RNA from 1 species